GGGGUCCGUACUGUAGGUGCAUGGGAGAAACUUUGCAGGGUGGGGACCCGGCGGCUGCUGGCCGGUAGUGACUGGUGGGCGCGCUCGAGGACUCCAAGGGGCGCAGCCCGGGGGCAGACCCUCGGGUCGGGCGGGGAUCUUAACGCUUCCCUUACCCGCCCCCUUUUGUCUUUCACCUCAGCCCCGCCGGCUGCUGUGGGAGCGGCGGCCGUCCCUCUCCUGGAGGUCGUCUCCUGGCAUCCUCGGGGCCGCAGGAAGGAAGAGGAGGCAGCGGCCGGAGCCCUGGUGGGCGGCCUGAGGUGAGAGCCCGACCGGCCCCUUUGGGAAUAUGGCGACCGGUGGCUACCGGACCAGCAGCGGCCUCGGCGGCAGCACCACAGACUUCCUGGAGGAGUGGAAGGCGAAACGCGAGAAGAUGCGCGCCAAGCAGAACCCCCCGGGCCCGGCCCCCCCGGGAGGGGGCAGCAGCGACGCCGCUGGGAAGCCCCCCGCGGGGGCUCUGGGCACCCCGGCGGCCGCCGCUGCCAACGAGCUCAACAACAACCUCCCGGGCGGCGCGCCGGCCGCACCUGCCGUCCCCGGUCCCGGGGGCGUGAACUGCGCGGUCGGCUCCGCCAUGCUGACGCGGGCGGCCCCCGGCCCGCGGCGGUCGGAGGACGAGCCCCCAGCCGCCUCUACCUCGGCUGCACCGCCGCCCCGGCGUGACGAGGAGGAGCCGGACGGCGUCCCGGAGAAGGGCAAGAGCUCGGGCCCCAGUGCCAGGAAAGGCAAGGGGCAGAUCGAGAAGAGGAAGCUGCGGGAGAAGCGGCGCUCCACCGGCGUGGUCAACAUCCCUGCCGCAGAGUGCUUAGAUGAGUACGAAGAUGAUGAAGCAGGGCAGAAAGAGCGGAAACGAGAAGAUGCAAUUACACAACAGAACACUAUGCAGAAUGAAGCUGUAAACUUACUAGAUCCAGGCAGUUCCUAUCUGGUACAGGAGCCACCUAGAACAGUUUCAGGCAGAUAUAAAAGGAAGAGAGAUAAACCCUACACAGAGCAAGGAGCUGUUAUGAGGAGUGGGAGUGUUGGAGGGUGAAGAGAAUGGGGCAGUGAAAGAUACUAAAAGGAUGGAAGCCAGUUAAGUAGUUGUUGGUUAUUUGGGAAUUUCAGAAUAUAUCCUGUACUUUUGAAUAUUUGAUACUUAUUCUAAAAGUAGGAUUUACCCUUGAGUCUUGUAUUUCUUCUCAUUGCUAAGCUUUAUAAUGUCUAUUUUAGUGGAAAAUUCCUCUAGCUAUAAUCUCUUAAUGCUGCCAAUCUCAUUCUCAUGAUAGUUUUAGAAUAAUAGUGUAAUUUUCCCCAACACAACACCCCCUGGUGUUUCUACAUAAGAUGCGAAAAUUCCCAGAGGGGGAAAACUUCCAGUAAGGGGUGGCAUUUAUCUUUGAUGAUACUGUUUCUUUUCCCUUUUCUGAGCAUUAUAGUUCAUGUCUUUGUAGCUAAGAGUGGAGGGAGGAUUCUUUUUGUAUCGUAUUAGAGAUUUAUGUUAACAUUCCUAAGUAAAAUGUUAAAAACUUUUUGGAGUUAAUGAACAAUCUUUUAUUCUGAGUAUUUUGCACUGUGCAUAUCUGGCUUUCAAAAUAGGUUAAAUGGCUAAAUUUGGCAAUAAGAUCAAGUAACACAAUUCUUCACAAUUAUGACAGUAUUCCCUAAAACAUAAUACAUAUUGGGAAUGAAGCACUGAUUUUGUUUUUCACUAUUCCUUGCAUUUGCAUAAUGAAGGCCGGGUGUGGUGGCUCAUGCCUGUAAUCCCAGCACUUUGGGAAGGCCGAGGUGGGCGGAUCACCUGAGGUCAGGAGUUUGAGACCAGCCUGGUCAACAUGGGGAAACCCCAUCUCUACUAAAAAUACAAAAAUUAGCCGGGCGUGGUGGCAGGCACCUGUAAUCCCAGCUACUUGGGAGGCGGAGGUAGGAGAAUCACUUGACUGCAGGCUGAGGUUGCAGUGAGCCAAAAUAGUGGCAUUGCACUCCAGCCUGGGCAACAGGAGUGAAACUCUGUCUCCAAAAAAAAAAAAAAAUUGCAUAAUGAUGCCGUUUAUGUAUUGACAAGUCUAAGAUGGAAGGUUUUAAAAAUUGUUAAUAAGUUAAACUUUUUUGAAAUAUUGUUUUAAACAUGUUCAUCAAGCAAAUACACGAUUACUAACAGACAUCCAUAUUUCUGGAUGGUUUGUUUGUAGCUGUCAGCAUUAUAGUUUCUACCUAAAAAGUCAUGGAUGGAUGCAGAAAGUUGGACUUCUUUUUUUUGUGAAAAAUGGGUCCUUUAAAAUGCUUCUAAUGGUCUUCUAUAAUAUGGUAUGGCUUUAGUGAUACCUCCUCUGUUGAUUUUCUUUUUACCACUUUGCUGGUAUUUCCCAGUCUUAUUUGUAGUUCUUUCUUUCCUGUAUCUCUUCUUCGUGUAUUGGUAUUACUCGAUUUUUUUUGUUUUUGUUUCUUUUUACAGGGUUUCACCAUGUCACCCAGGCUGAGUGCAGUGGCGUAAUUGCUCACUGCAGCCUCAACCUCUUGGGCUCAAGCAAUCCUCCUACCACAGCCUCCCAAGUCCCAAGUGCUUGGGACUCCAGGAACAUGCCACCAUGCCUAAUUUUUUAUUUUUUUAAUUUUAUAGAGACAGAGUCUCAUUAUGUUGUCCAGACUGGUCUUGAACUCCUGGACCUAAGCAGUCCUCCUGCCUUGGCCCCCCAAAGUGCUGAGAUUACAGUUGAGAGCCACUGUGCUCAGCCUACUCAGCUGUUAAUCUUAGACUUUAUUCUCUUUUCGUUUUGUGUAUUUGUGGUAGAAAUUUCAUUCACUCCGAUGACUUCACUUAUUAUCUAUACAUAAUGCUGAUGACUCCAGAUCCAGAAGCCAGGAGUUUGAGACCAGCCUGGUCAACAUAGUGACACGUCUCUACAAAAAAAAAAAAAAAAUUAGCCAGGUAUGGUGGCAUAUGCCUGUAGCUCCAUACCUGUAUAAUCAACAGCUAUUAAAUAUCUGCUAAGCAAACUAAACUAAGCAUUUUCAAAAGUAAACUUGUGAAACCUGAUGGAUUUCAGUAGUUGACAUCAGCAUCUACUUUUGCUGAAGUCAGUAGCCUGGACAUUAUUUAUGACACUUAUUUUUUUUUCCCAUCUUGCCCUUAUCCAUUCAUUCACCAAGCCUUGUUGAGUUUAUCUUCUGAGUAUCUCAUUGCCAUCACACCAAUCUAGGACACCAUCAUCUCUUACAUAGGUGAUUACAAUAGCCUCCACACUGGCCUCCCUGUCUCCGUUUAGCUCAUCUCCCAAUAUAUUUUAUAAAAAUGAUACUGUUACUUUCUCUGCUUUAAUGGCUUACCAUUACCUUUAAAUGGAGUCUGAAUCAGUGGUCUCCAAAGGGGGGUGAUAUACAAGAUAAUCUGCUAGGGUGCAGGAGGAAAAUAUUGGAACUUUUAUUCAUAUUUACCUUUUUAUUUGAAAAACACUAAGGCAUUAAUAUUUAAAAGCUACUACUGUGUAAUAGUUAUUUAGUCAUUCCUUCUUUGCUCUAUAUGUCAGAUGGUCAUUUGGUACUAAAGGUGUCCUGAGGGAAGCAUGCUUUGUUCACUUUCUGCAUAUUGCACAAUACUAUAAUUUGAAUGUCCAUCUAUGCAGAUUUAUGAGUUAUCUAGUUUAUUACAAAAUAUGUAAGUCUGGGAUUAGGGAAUUUGUGGAGAAAAUCAAGUGUUUAACUGCAAAUAAGAUCACAUUGUUGUUCAGCUGGUAAGAUAUACAAAAUCAAAUCUGUUCUCAUGAAUUAAGAAAAGUUACGCUGAUUUUGAGGUUUUAAGUGAAACUUUUUUUAAAAAUUCUCAUUUUUUUGUAAGGCAUCCCUUUCUGCUUUGAUAGCCAUUAAAAAUCAAAUAUUCAAACUGAUGUUAGAACUAGAUCUUUGAAUCUCUGUAUCACACGGUGUUAAGAUCUUCAGAAAUAAUGAAGCAUAUUCAAUAUUUUAUUUAAAAUAUUUGUGAGAACAAACUUUUGUACCAUAAAUAAAACAAAUUUUAGUCUUUUUCUUAUGCUCUAUUUUUGGGAUACAGACGAUUAUUUUAUAUAGUCAUAUUGUAAAUCCUAUAAAAAUGGUAGAUAAGUAAACAUAGAUACCAACAUGGGUAUGUAAUUAUGAAUAAUAUUUGGAGAUCUUUAGUUUAAAUUCUUCCAUAAAAUAGCUUUCAGGGCCAGGCGUGGUAGCUCAGACUUCUACUCCCAAGCACUUUGGGUGGCUGACACAGGAAGAUCGCUUGAGGCCAGGACUUCAGGACCGGCCUGGGCAACAUAGCAAGACCUAACUUCUAAAAAAUUAAGAUAAAUUAGCGGGCAUGGUCGCACAUGUAGCUACUCCAGAGGCUGAGGGGAGGAUUGCUUGGGCCCAGGAAUUUGAAUUUACAGUGAGCUAUGAUUGUCCACUGCACUCCAGCCUGGGCCACAGAGUGAGAACCUGUCUCUUAAAAAAAAAAUAAAUAAAUUCAGGUUUCCUGCUUUUUUUUCAGACUCAUAUUUUAUUACUCUUAUGUUUACACUCCAUGCUUUAGCCAUAUUGGAGUUUUCUGUUUCUCAAAUGGGCCACAAUUUAUAGGUUUUUGCACAUUCUUGUCCUUCUUUUUACGUUUCAACCUUCUCUAACAUAGUGAUACCCAAAGUGUAGUCCUUGAACUGUUUGUUGUCAAUCCAAGACAAGAAAAGAACUUGAGAAUAAGCAUUUAGAAACUUGAAUUGCAUUUUGACUUGUCAUCAUCACAUCCAAGUGCAUGAUCAGUGGAUUACUCUGUGAACAGGAUAUAGAGUAGUUCAAGUGCCAUGGCAAGUUGCAUGCUAAUCAUGCCCAGCAGGGCUGUUACAAUGUGUGAUAUUUUGAAGUUAGUCAUUUGUAACCCAAAAAUGUGUAAGAAUUAAGUAAAAUGUGGCUGGCUUAUGCCUGUAAUCCCAAGACCAAAGCAGGAGGAUAGCUUGAAGCCAGGAGUUUGAGACCAGCCUGGUCAACAUAGUAAGACAUGUCUCUACAAAAAAAAAAAAAAAAAAAAAAUUAGCCAGGUAUGGUGGUGGCAUAUGCCUGUAGUCCCAGCUACUUGGUAGGCUAAGGUGGAAGGAUCACUUGAGCCUAGGAGUUUUGAGGUUUCAAGACUGCAGUGAGCCAUGGUGGCACCUCUGUACAUCAGCCUGGGUGACAGUGCAAGACCCUAUCUCCCCCCGCCCCCCCCCAAAAAAGCAAAGCAUUUAUUUUUAAAAUCUCGUUAAUUUUAAUCACACUUCUUCUCGUCCCAUAAAUAAUUUAAAAAUAUAUAGUAAUUUUAAAAUGUAAAAAUCUUUUUCAUUCUUUAGAAUUUUAUGUUUUACAAGUAUUAUUUAAAUCCUGGAAGCAAAAUUUGUAUUAUUUAUAAGUCAGAUUUACUGAUGACAAAACAAACUUUACUGGACUUUUUUGACAAGCAAAGAUACACUUUUUUGAAUGCGAUAGCAGUAGUAAACCAAAUGAUGACAAUGGAAGUAAUUUCAAAGAGAUACAGAUCAAAAGAAUUUGUACUAGUUUUCUUGGAAAGUAUUAUGUGUCCUAUGUUUAGUUUUUAGCCAUAAUUGAUGGGCGAAGUGCUAAAACCAAAACCAAAGUGGGUUGUUUGGAGAUACACUGGCUAUUUAAACAAUAUAAAAUGAUCAAAAUUUAAUUGGUAGUUGUAGGCAUGAAUGUUCAAAACGAAUUCAUCAAAUAUGUUCAAAACCAAAUUCAUUAUUUGAAAGAAUAUUACAAAGAUGACCGGAGCAGAUGUUCAGGAUUUCACAUGUGAUCACUAGUAUUUUUGGGGUUUCUGAUAGUCUGACUUGAGGUUGCUAACAUUAAAAAAAACUGCAUACAAAUGACAAGACAAAACAUGUUUGCUUGGAAAUGUUGGAUGAAUCUGUAGUAAAGAAGAUAGUUCACAUACCACUUUCCAGCAACACCAUGAUAGCUUGAUGUGUUUAGGGACAGGACAGUGAUACAGAAGACUAACUCUCAGACAAAUAAGAUCCUGCAAAGGAAUUUUUGUUACAAUUUGAUGAACACAUUGGUUUUGCUAACAUAGGAAGUAACAAUUUAUUUUUCAGCUUCAUUGCUGACAUACAGCUUGCUCUGAACUAUAUAACACUUGCAAAGGGUUACAGUAUCAACAAAUGUGGUUUGGAGUUUUGCUUUACUUUUAUAGGAAUAUAUUCUAAUUAUGCAGGCACAGUAAUAAGAAAAACAUACUGAAGCUUGUACCAGAAUGUAAAUCGGUGUCCUGCUUCUUUCAUUGAGAAAGUCUUGCUUUGUCAGCUGAACUAAACAGUGUUCUUGCUAUAUCAGCUGAAUUCACAGUAUAGUACACUAAAAGUGUGAAUUUAUUAUUAAACACUAAUUCAUUACAUUUGAGGUUUCUAAAAAAUUAGAUACUGUAAUUUGGGAGUUAGCUGAUCAGCUGUUAUCAGAUGCUAGGGUGUACAUUUGUCUUCAAACUGACCUUUUCAGUCAAGAGUAUUUGAAUUUUGGGAUGAACUCUUGGUGUUUUUGCAAGAUAAGAAACCAGUUUGGUCCCCAGCUUUUCAAAUAUGUGAGUUAGCUUUUUGUCUGAUGGCCUUAUUCUUUAUUUUUUAAGUGAUCUUAGCUUUCCAUGCAAAGAAGGAAUGUCAGUUGGCCGGGCGCAGUGGCUCAUGCCUGUAAUCCCUGCACUUUGGGAGGCCGGGGCAGGUGGAUCACGAGGUCAGGAGCUCAAGGCCAGCCUGGCCAACAUGGUGAAACCCUGUCUCUACUAAAAAUACAAAAAUUAGCCGGGCAUGGUGGCAGGCGCCUGUAAUCCCAGCUACUCAGGAGGCUGAGGCAGGAAAAUCGCUUGAACCCAGGAGGCGGAGGUUGCAGUGAGCCAGAAGGCUUUGCAAUGGCAGAUAAGAUCAGGUGACAAAAAUGAAAGUUGGAUUUUUGAGGAGAAAGUUACCUUAGCUCGUUAUAAAGGGUUCUACGAUAUAGUAACAACUAUCAGUAAAGUAGAUGGUGAUCUUGGUAUUGCACAUUUGAAAAGGUUACAAUCAAAUACCUUACAAAUUUGAUAGGACACUUUUAUUUUCUAUCACAAGAAAAUUCAUAGGUAAGAAAUUCAUAGAUGAGGAAUCAAUUUUUAAAACGAGAAGUCACUUUCGAUUUAACUGUAAAUUUGCUGGAUAAAUUAUUGGAAAUGGAUACCAGUCAGUGAAGGAUUGAAAACAAAUUUUGAAAAGCAAAUUUUCUACAUUUUUGACAAAAGUUUUUAAAAAUGAAUGUCCGAGCUUGUUGAAAUUGCAUUAAAAUCACUGCUAUUUCUGUCCUUUGAGACUGUUUUCUCUGAUUGCUAUUAAAACAAAACACAGAAAGAGUUUAGAUAUACAUUAUCCCUUGUUGAGUAGCAUUGUCCUCGGUCCAACCUAGAUUAACAAAUGUAGUAACUGGCUUUCAAGAUAGCCCCCAGUGAACCCUACCUCCUGAUGUUUGCACUGUGUAUAAUCCUCUCACACAACAUACCAAGUUGAUAUGUGUGAACAAUAGAAUAAGGUCAGUGUGAUAGUAUGUCACUUUUGAGGUUGCGUUAUGACCGACACUGCAGCUUCUGUCUCGGUUGCUCUGUCAGUUUGUCUCUGGAAGCCAGCUGCCAUGUGGUGAACAGGCCAGUGGAGAGGCCCAACAUAGUGAGGAACUGAGGCUGUUGUCAUCAGUCAUGUGAGUGAGCUUAGAAGCAGAUUCUCCAGCCCAGUUAAGCCUUCAGAUGACUGAAGCCCCAACCAACAUCUUGAUUAAAAGCUCAUGAGAAGCCCCAAAUCAUAAUCACCCACCUAAGCUGCUUCUAAAUUCCUGACCAACGGAAACUUUGAGAUAAGAAUUGUGUCACAACCAGUGUCUCUGAAGAAGAUGUCUCAAGUAGAUAUUCUCGAACAGAUAGAAGUGGGUUCCCUAGAUAUAACAGGGAUGCAAAUGUUUCAGGUACUCUGGUUUCAAGUAGCACACUGGAAAAGAAAAUUGAAGAUCUUGAAAAGG